rnacentral:rRNA from 1 species
AGUGAACGCUGGCGGUAGGCCUAACACAUGCAAGUCGAACGGCAGCACAGUAAGAGCUUGCUCUUACGGGUGGCGAGUGGCGGACGGGUGAGGAAUACAUCCGAAUUUACUCUUUCGUGGGGGAUAACGUAGGGAAACUUACGCUAAUACCGCAUACGACCUACGGGUGAAAGCAGGGGAUCUUCGGACCUUGCGCGAUUGAAUGAGCCGAUGUCGGAUUAGCUAGUUGGCGGGGUAAAGGCCCACCAAGGCGACGAUCCGUAGCUGGUCUGAGAGGAUGAACAGCAACACUGGAACUGAGACACGGUCCAGACUCCUACGGGGGGCAGCAGUGGGAAAUAUUGGACAAUGGGGGCAAGCCUGAUCCAGCCAUACCGCGUGGGUGAAGAAGGCCUUCGGGUUGUAAAGCCCUUUUGUUGGGAAGGAAAAGCAGCAGGUUAAUACCCCGCUGUUCUGACGGUACCCAAAGAAUAAGCACCGGCUAACUUCGUG